UUUGGAAAAGUAACCAGGAACAGUCGCAGUCGGUGAUCUCACGUGUGCACUGGCAUUUGUUUUGAAUAUUUUAAUUACACAAUUAUUUUCACGCCACAGUAUUGAAAUGUCUUCAGCACACAUGCUUGCAUAUUCUCGGUAAACAAACAAGUGUCACUUCGUCUCUUAAUGCGUUAACGUUACAUCAAUGUGUUGUGUAAGUUCUUAGCGAGUUAGCUAACAGACAUCGGAACCGAUCGACUCAAGUACAGCACGGGAUUUUAAAUGCUCCUUUCGCUUAAUCAAAUCAGUUCAUAAGACUAAAAUGGCUUUAAGAUUAGCUUUGGUUGGAGCUUUACGUUAUAUCGGCUCCAGGACGAGUGUAGUUGGUGCACGACGACUGUUCUGCUCUCAAAAGACAGGACAAGAAUCUUCUGAUACUAUAAGGGUGCUGUAUGAUGGAGAAUGCCCAAUAUGUGUUAAAGAAAUUAGCUUGCUUCAGUUUCUUGAGAGAAAUAGAACGGGAAAAGUAGAUUUUGUGGACAUCUCACUGCCAGCGUAUGAUGGGAGCAAAUAUGGAGUCAGUUAUGAGAUGGCAAUGGAGGAAAUGACGGUAAUUGAUGAGAAGAACACGAUUCAUCGUGGAGUUCCAGCUUUCACAGUGAUGUACAGUGCAGUGGGUUUGGGUUGGCUUGGCACGUUCAUCUCUCUCCCACUGGUCAGGCCUAUAAUGGACCGAGCCUAUGGGGUGUUUGCAAGAAACAGACUGAAGUGGACCGGCAGAGAGGGCUGCACCACUGGACGCUGUGCUAAAAAAGAGACAUAAGGAACAAAGCGCUUUAAAACUAAUUUUCCAGGUCAAUGGAUGUAGUGAAGUGAAGUGACAUGUGGCCAAGUAUGUUGACCCAUACUCUGAAUUAAUGCUCUGCAUUUAUCCCAUCCAUAGUGCACACACACCGUGAACACACACCCGGAGCAGUGGGCAGCCAUUUUUUUGCUGCGGCGCCCGGGGAGCAGUUGGGGUUUCGGUGCCUUGCUCAAGGGCACCUCAGUCGUGGUAUUGAAGGUGGGAGAGAGCGCUGUACAUUCACUCACCCCCACCUACAAUCCCUGCCGGUACGAGACUCGAACCCGCAACAUUUGGGUUACGAGUCCGACUCUCUAACCAUCAUUAGGCCACGACUUCCCCAUGUAUCGUUAGUUACAGCUGUUAUUGUUAAAGUUUUUUGCAUUUAAUAUUUAAAAUUGUCUGAAUAUAACUGUAAUAUCAGCGUGCUCAGAAUAAUCUUUUAUUAAGAUCUACAAGUUUACUUUAUAAACACUGUGAUAUCUGUAUAUACAAUAAAUUACUCAUGCUGGGAGAAAAGAGUGUUGACAAUUUGAACAACUCCAAGGGAACUUUUUCUAAAUUUAGAAGCCUCCUGACUGACCAUCAAGUGUUAGGAUGCAGUAGGACAGAUUGUGCUUUAAUGAGGGAUGGUCAGGGGUUUGUCAGCAGUCCUUUACACCAGCCAAGAGGAUUUGAAUUUAAGAGUAGGGCGGGAUUAAAAACCACAACAGAAACAAGUGUAAACACCACACGAUGUAAUUCAAGAGAAAACGAGCACUAUAUGUGUCUUUGGAAGGAAAGUGAACAUUUAUUUAUCAAGUUCCGAAAAAAGAGCACAACAGAUAAGAC
rnacentral:lncRNA from 1 species